AUUGAACGCUGGCGGCAGGCCUAACACAUGCAAGUCGAGCGAGCGGCGGACGGGUGAGAAGUGUAUGGGGAUCUGCCUGAUGGAGGGGGAUAACCAGUAGAAACGGUAGCUAAUAACGCAUACCAUCAGAUGAACACAUAGGGGUUUAGAUAGUAGGUGAGGUAACGGCUUACCUAGGCGACGAUCCCUAGCUGGUCUGAGAGGAUGAUCAGCCACACUGGGACGGAGACACGGCCCAGACUCCUACGGGAGGCAGCAGUGGGGAAUAUUGCACAAUGGGCGCAAGCCUGAUGCAGCCAUGCCGCGUGUAUGAAGAAGGCCUUCGGGUUGUAAAGUACUUUCAGUCGGGAGGCGUUACCGACAGAAGAAGCACCGGCUAACUCCGUGCCAGCAGCCGCGGUAAUAC
rnacentral:rRNA from 1 species